rnacentral:rRNA from 1 species
UGCCAGCAGCCGCGGUAAUACGGAGGGUGCAAACGUUGUUCGGAAUCACUGGGCAUAAAGAGCAUGUAGGCUGUCCAGUCAGUUGGAUGUGAAAUCCCCCGGCUCAACCGGGGAACUGCAUCCAAUACUGCUGGGCUUGAGAAUGGUUGGGGUGAGCGGAACUCCUGGUGGAGCGGUGAAAUGCGUAGAUAUCAGGAGGAACACCGGUGGCGAAGGCGGCUCACUGGACCAUUACUGACGCUGAGAUGCGAAAGCUAGGGGAGCGAACGGGAUUAGAUA